GUUUAGGUGUGUGUGCACUUGUAGGUGUGUGCGCGUGUGGGUACGUGUGCUUGCACAUACGGAGGUGUGUGUGGUAGCGUGUAGCGUAUGUUGGCACAUACACGUGUGUGGGCACACGGGUGUGUUACAUACGCGUGCAGGCCUGCGGGAUGCGCGCGGGAAUGUGAGCCUCUGGGAUGGCAUCAGGGAGGUGCCAGCCGGCAGGCGCUGCGUAAGCGGUGACUGUGUUUAUUGCGUAUCUUGCAGUGUGAGUUUCCUGUUCGGAAACCACCUCAGCCACAGAAAAACGACCCCCGAGCGGUCGGGUGGGGCCGUGGGCCAGUGGCCCGGCUCUGGGAGCCGUGUGGGGGGCAGCAAGGGAGAGGAACGGGGUGGGCGGGUGCCGCUUCUGACCGCGGGCCCCCGCAGGGUGUGCCGCCUACUGCUCUGGCAGCAGGGGGCCGGGUCUCCUGCCCCGCCUCUGCCUUGCUGGGAAAAGCUUGGGGCGGCUCCGGGGACCCCCAGCUCUCCAGCCGGAGGGGCGGGACCCAGGGGACCGGAUGUGCCCAGCAGGAAGCCGGAAGGGUCCCGACUGCUGCGACCCCAAGGGGCUUGGGUGCUGCUCUGGAGCGUCUGCGAUUUGUGGGGUGCAGGGGUCAGUGGCGCCCGGGGGUGGCCUGCCCGCCCUGUCCACGGGCCGCCGCAGAAGUGUCCUCGGGAGCUGCCGGCACCCUUCCCUCGGGCCGUUCUGAGGGCCCAGUGAGGUCACACCUGUGUGAGACUCCGCAGACGAGACUGGCACAUUCGCACCAAAACCCUGUCCAGGGGGGCUUUGGGGUUUGCCGUGCGGGACUGCAGAGGGUCUCCUCUCGGCCCUCGGGCCCAGCAGGCACACCCCUGGUUUCUACUCAGUAGUCAGCCUCAGGGCUCUGCUCACAUUUGCCCCCCAUUCCUUAGGCUUCCCAGAACCUUCUAGUUUUGGGGCCCCAUCGCUUAGGUCACCAUGGGUCUCCAGGGUGUGGCCCCACAGUCCAGGUACCAUCCAUAUUUUAUCUCACUGUCCCUGUGGACCCGGAACAUCGGCGUGGUGCCACCACCGACCACGCAGCAGACUCCCGUAGUCGAGGCCACGAGUCCAAGGUCACGGGUCGGGAGGCUGGCUUCCUCCUGAGGCCGCGAGGGAGAGUGUCCCAUGCUGUCUUAGCUGCUGGCGUUUGCUGACGGCUCGGCGGUUGCUCGGCCUGUAGAGGCUUCCGUCCAUCCCUGCCCGAAUCCUCAACGAGACGUGCUCCCCUGUGCCUGCGUGCACACCGCCGUGUUGUAGAGGGAUGCCAGUCCGUGGAGCAGGCCCAGCCUAGUGACCUUGUUUCAACAUGCUCACAUCUGCAAAGACCCUGAUGCCAAAUAGGGUCACAUCCCCAGGUGCUGGAGGUUAGAAUAUGCCAGGGUGAAUCUGGGGAGGACACGUUCAGUCCUUUACAGUAGGCGCUAGGAUCUCCUUUGUAAGCGAGGAACUGAGGUGCAAAGCGAGGGUCCCUCCAGAGGCCCUGCAGCCCCAAGGAGGGCCACUGGGGGGACCCCAGAUGCUCUCUCUGCACCUCCCCCCACCCCGACCAUGGCUUUCAGGCCCUCCUGCAUCUUGGUGGUCGGGGCCUGUGGUAAGUCUGCCCUCAGGUUCCCUGUGACUCUCGCUGAAGGUCACACUGGCUGGGCUGCCCGAGAGGACAUCUGCCUCUCAACCUCAUGGGUCUUGUCUCUGUGCAGAGUCUCCCAGGACCCCCUGAAGCUCCUCGAAGGCACAGGCCCAGCCCCCACGCCUCUGCCUCUGAGAAUGUGGGGCCGAGGGGCCGUCACAGCGCCCCUGACUGCUCUGAUCUCUCUCUGUAACUUCCCCUCUGGAGGCCGCCCCCCGACCUAGCCGUCGGCCCCUGGCCUCCCUCCUGGUCUGCGCGUGCGCCCCUGAAUGUGGUCUUAGCUCUUGAGUCCAAAAGAAAAGGGCGUUCUGCAGGGAGUACGGCGAGAGAAAAAUUCCUGGAAUCGUCUUUACAGAACACAAACGUCAAUGUGUUUUCUGGAUGUUCUCUUCAGCGUCUUCUGCCUCCUUUCCACGCUUCCCUGCACUUCCUGGUUUUGGCUGAGGUCAGAUAGCAGAAGUACUGAAAUAUUUCUCCUUAAGUGUCUCAUGGUACUUCUGGGCUGGCCCAAAACAGGAAGUUCUGUGGGACAUGUCUCCAGAAGUCUCUGUGUCCACCAAGGACUCCGUGCACACGACCUGGGGUCCCACAGGAGCACUCAGACUCUCCACCAGGGAGGGACCCGUUCCUCCUGGCUCGGGAGGACACCAUUAGCUUACUGGGGAGAAGACACGUUUUGGGGGAAACUAGGAACCUGUGUUCGUGUCCUCGGGCUUCUGAGCAGACACUUCUCCCAGCCCUGGACGCCUCUCUCUGGUAGAGGCUGUCCUGUCCCGUGUCCUCACCCGGCCGUGCCUCCGUGCAUGUCUGUGUCAUGUCCCCUCCUCACACGGGCACAGUCAUGUGGGUUCGGGGCCACCCCAGUGACCUCGCUUUAACUCGAUCCCCUCUGUAAAGGCCUCAUCUCUACAGUCGUAUUCGGCAUGGAUCUUAGGGGGACGUAAUUCAGCCCAUAAAACCAUCUUUGUUGUUUUCUAAGUCAAUGCGAGGUGGAAGGUGAGCUUGCUCUGGGGGCCACGGGAGGCGGCCGUCCGGGCCCCUCUGACAGCCUCCAGGGGCCUCGCCCUAGCCACCGUGGCACUCCCCAGGCCAGACACCGUGUCCCCGGGGCCCCCAGCUGGCUGGCUGAAACUCCUUCUCCAGAAACAACCUGACCCGGGUGUCCAGGGAUUCUCAGAGGGGGGACGUGCAGGUGGGGGUGGGUCAUGGGGCCCUGGAGGGCGAGUUAGCCUCAGGAUUGCCCCCGCCUCGUCCGUCAGUCCUGGCACACACGCUCCCUUUUGCCUCCCGGCCCAGACAAGAGCCGAAGCGCUGGCCACGGGAGCCUGAGUGCCCAGAGUGCCCCUCAGUGGGGUGGGGGCGGCGAGGGCCGAGGCCAGAAGGGCCGGAGGGGAUGUGGAAGGGCUUCUGUGGGGAUGCAGUCCCUCCAGCAGCUUGUGGGGAGGGGGGGGGGCAGCGCCCGCACUGGCUUCCCCACCUGCCCAGCUGCUCCCGCAGGGCAGGGUGGCGCUCGGGGCCUCGGCCAGAGCGGAGAGGGGCAGGUGGUGCGGGCGUCACAGCCCUCAGCUGCCUCUGGUGGAGGAAGUUGGUCUCCGGAGCCCCGUAGGGGAUUUUGAGGGGGAUUUCCAGCCAGGGGCCAGUUUUUAUUGAAAGUGCUUAAUGGGCCUGAAAGGUCUGGCCUUUAUCAAAUGAGUCACCUUGGAGGGGAGACAGCGGCCACAGCAUCUUGGGGUCCCGAGCUGUGCCCUGGUUCGGUGGCCGAGCGGGUCCAGGCCAGGCUCUGGAGGGAGGGCCAAGGCAGGCCUCCUCAGCCCGGCCCUCCAUCCGUCCCGGCGGGCGCCGUAUCCGCGGUGGUUACUUCUGUGUGUCACUUGCAUUUCUGUGCGUCUGUGAGGGUGUUUCCUGGCGAGCCUGGCAUUUGAUUCGGCGAGCUCUUGCCCGCUUCCCCCCGCACCCCCGCAAAGCCUGACACCAGGAAACCCAGGCCAACAUCAGGACCGUGUGGAGCCGGUGGGACACCCCCCUGCUGGCCAAGUCCCCAGACAUCAGAUCUCAGCUGCCGUCCUGAUGAGGGGCUUGGCCCGCGCUCCACUCCCCCGGGAGGCUCCCGGGGCCACGCUAGCUGUGAGGGCAGGCGGUGGGGGGCGCCGCCUCCCGCUGAGCUGGGCACCCGCCCCUGGGCGGUGCAGGUGCUGCCCACCGUCCCAGCGGACACAGAGGUGGUCCCGCCCGACAUGGUUGUCCCCGGCCCCCGCUCACGAUGGCGGCGUGGGGAAGGAGAGGGAGGACCGUCCAGGGGGCCGCCUCCGAGAGCUGAGCCGGCCAUGCGCCUCAUACUCGGUUACGUCCCUGCCGUGGACGCGUCAUAGCCAACUUGCCAAAACCGGAGGACGGAAAAACCAGCGUCUCCCCUGCCAGCCUGGAGCAGGCACAGCCGUGCUUGUGUUUGUGGUGUCUCCGUGCACACGCGGCCGGCUCACAGACCUGGUGAUCGUGCGCAGUUUAGCACGUUGUAAAAACCCGAGCGUUACUGCCAUUCCAUCCUCCCUUCUCUGCCUCCCUGCCUCCCUCUCUCCCAGCCUCCCUCCCUCCCUCCCUCCCUCCCUCCUUUCCUGCCUCCCAGCCUCCCUGCCUUCCCAUGGUCCUUCCUGCUGGCCCUGGGCAUUUCCUCAAGGAGCAUUUGCAUAAGACUCCCUCCCCACCUCCUUGUCCUAACUGACCUUGGGGAUUGUUUGCAACUUUUCCUGAUUAAAAUGAAGUUGGGAA